GGCCACAGAAGGCAGGAUUGGUGACGAUCUCCACCAUGGCCUGGGUUCCUCUCCUCUUCACCCUUAUUGCUCACUGCACAGGAUCCUGGGCCCAGUCUGUGCUGACUCAGCUGCCCUCAGUGUCUGGUGCCCUGGGCCAGAAGGUCACCGUCUCCUGCACUGGAAGCAGCUCCAACAUUGGGGGUGGCAAUUAUGUGUCCUGGUACCAACAGUUCCCAGGAACAGCCUCCAAACUCUUCAUCUAUUGUAAUAGCCAACGUGCCUCUGGAGUCCCUGAUUGAUUCUCUGGCUCAAAGUCUGGCAACUCAGGCUCCCUGACCAUCACUGGGCACCAGGCUGAUGAUGAGGCUGACUAUUACUGCUCAGCAUUGGACAACAGCCUGAGUGCUCACCAGUGCUCCAGGCCUGUGGGGAAGUGAGACAAAACCCUGCUGUUUCCGCAG